rnacentral:rRNA from 1 species
GUAGGUGGCAAGCGUUGUCCGGAAUUAUUGGGCGUAAAGCGCGCGCAGGUGGUUCUUUAAGUCUGAUGUGAACGCCCCCGGCUCAACCGGGGAGGGUCAUUGGAAACUGGGGAACUUGAGUGCAGGAGAGGAAAGUGGAAUUCCACGUGUAGCGGUGAAAUGCGUAGAUAUGUGGAGGAACACCAGUGGCGAAGGCGACUUUCUGGCCUGUAACUGACACUGAGGCGCGAAAGCGUGGGGAGCAAACAGGGAUUAGAUACCCUGGUAGUCCACGCCGUAAACGAUGAGUGCUAAGUGUUGGGGGGGUUUCCCGCCCCUCAGUGCUGCAGCUAACGCAUUAAGCACUCCGCCUGGGGAUACGGUCGCAAGACUG